CCGGGCCUACGGGACGCAGCAGUAGGGAAUCUUCGGCAAUGGGCGAAAGCCUGACCGAGCAACGCCGCGUGAAUGAAGAAGGCCUUCGGGUUGUAAAAUUCUGUUAUAAGGGAAGAAAGGUGAUAGGAGGAAAUGACUAUCAAUUGACGGUACCUUAUGAGAAAGCCACGGCUAACUACGUGCCAGCAGCCGCGGUAAUACGUAGGUGGCAAGCGUUAUCCGGAAUUAUUGGGCGUAAAGAGCGCGCAGGCGGUCAAUUAAGUAUGAUGUGAAAGCCCACGGCUUAACCGUGG
rnacentral:rRNA from 1 species